GCGUCAGUAGCUCAGUUGGAUAGAGCAACUGCCUUCUAAGCAGUAGGUCGUGGGUUCGAAUCCCGCCUGACGCA
rnacentral:tRNA from 1 species